rnacentral:rRNA from 1 species
AGAACCUGAAACCGUGUACGUACAAGCAGUAGGAGCACCUUCGUGGUGUGACUGCGUACCUUUUGUAUAAUGGGUCAGCGACUUAUAUUCAGUGGCAAGGUUAACCGUAUAGGGGAGCCGUAGCGAAAGCGAGUCUUAACUGGGCGCUCAGUCUCUGGAUAUAGACCCGAAACCGGGUGAUCUAGCCAUGGGCAGGUUGAAGGUUGAGUAACAUCAACUGGAGGACCGAACCGACUAAUGUUGAAAAAUUAGCGGAUGACUUGUGGCUAGGGGUGAAAGGCCAAUCAAACUCGGAGAUAGCUGGUUCUCCCCGAAAGCUAUUUAGGUAGCGCCUCGGACGAAUACUACUGGGGGUAGAGCACUGUUAAGGCUAGGGGGUCAUCCCGACUUACCAACCCUUUGCAAACUCCGAAUACCAGUAAGUACUAUCCGGGAGACACACGGCGGGUGCUAACGUCCGUCGUGGAGAGGGAAACAACCCAGACCGCCAGCUAAGGUCCCAAAGUAUUGCUAAGUGGGAAACGAUGUGGGAAGGCUCAGACAGCUAGGAUGUUGGCUUAGAAGCAGCCAUCAUUUAAAGAAAGCGUAAUAGCUCACUAGUCGAGUCGGCCUGCGCGGAAGAUGUAACGGGGCUAAGCAAUACACCGAAGCUGCGGCAAUGUCUUUUAGACAUUGGGUAGGGGAGCGUUCUGUAAGCCGUUGAAGGUGAAUCGUAAGGUUUGCUGGAGGUAUCAGAAGUGCGAAUGCUGACAUGAGUAACGACAAAGGGGGUGAAAAACCUCCUCGCCGGAAGACCAAGGGUUCCUGUCCAACGUUAAUCGGGGCAGGGUGAGUCGACCCCUAAGGUGAGGCCGAAAGGCGUAAUCGAUGGGAAACGGGUUAAUAUUCCCGUACUUCUGACUAUUGCGAUGGGGGGACGGAGAAGGCUAGGUGGGCCAGGCGACGGUUGUCCUGGUUCAAGUGCGUAGGCUUGAGAGUUAGGUAAAUCCGGCUCUCUCUAAGGCUGAGACACGACGUCGAGCUACUACGGUAGUGAAGUCAUUGAUGCCAUGCUUCCAGGAAAAGCCUCUAAGCUUCAGAUAGUCAGGAAUCGUACCCCAAACCGACACAGGUGGUCGGGUAGAGAAUACCAAGGCGCUUGAGAGAACUCGGGUGAAGGAACUAGGCAAAAUGGUACCGUAACUUCGGGAGAAGGUACGCUCUUGAUGGUGAAGUCCCUCGCGGAUGGAGCUGACGAGAGUCGCAGAUACCAGGUGGCUGCAACUGUUUAUUAAAAACACAGCACUGUGCAAAAUCGCAAGAUGACGUAUACGGUGUGACGCCUGCCCGGUGCCGGAAGGUUAAUUGAUGGGGUUAGCGCAAGCGAAGCUCUUGAUCGAAGCCCCGGUAAACGGCGGCCGUAACUAUAACGGUCCUAAGGUAGCGAAAUUCCUUGUCGGGUAAGUUCCGACCUGCACGAAUGGCGUAAUGAUGGCCACGCUGUCUCCACCCGAGACUCAGUGAAAUUGAAAUCGCUGUGAAGAUGCAGUGUACCCGCGGCUAGACGGAAAGACCCCGUGAACCUUUACUACAGCUUGGCACUGAACAUUGAACCUACAUGUGUAGGAUAGGUGGGAGGCUAUGAAGACGUGACGCCAGUUGCGUUGGAGCCGUCCUUGAAAUACCACCCUUGUAUGU